GUUGGUAGAGCAGUGGAUUGAAAAUCCUCGUGUCUCCAGUUCAAAUCUGG
rnacentral:tRNA from 18 species